CAAUGGAGGCAACUCUGACCCAGCCAUGCCGCGUGCAGGAAUAAGGUCUAUGGAUUGUAAACUGCUUUUAUACAGGAAGAAACCCUCCGACGUGUCGGGGCUUGACGGUACUGUAUGAAUAAGCACCGGCUAACUCCGUGCCAGCAGCCGCGGUAAUACGGAGGGNGCAAGCGUUAUCCGGAAUCAUUGGGUUUAAAGGGUCCGCAGGCGGUCAAUUAAGUCAGAGGUGAAAUACCGUCGCUUAACGACGGAACUGCCUUUGAUACUGGUUGACUUGAGUCAUAUGGAAGUAGAUAGAAUGUGUAGUGUAGCGGUGAAAUGUUUANAUAUUACACAGAAUACCGAUUGCNAAGGCAGUUUACUACGUAUGUACUGACGCUCAUGGACGAAAGCGUGGGGAGCGAACAGGAUUAGAUACCCUGNUAGUCCACGCCGUAUACGAUGGAUACUAGUUGUUNGNAGCAAUCUCAGUGACUAAGCGAAAGUGAUAAGUAUCC
rnacentral:rRNA from 1 species